GAUGAAGAACGCAGCGAAAUGCGAUAAGUAAUGUGAAUUGCAGAAUUCAGUGAAUCAUCGAAUCUUUGAACGCAUAUUGCGCUCUCUGGUAUUCCGGAGAGCAUGCUUGUUUGAGUAUCAGUAAACACCUCAACUUCCAUAUCUUUUUUGAAAUGGGAGUUGGACUUGAGUGAUCCCAACGCUUUUCCUCACCGAAAAGUGGCGGGUUACUUGAAAUGCAGGUGCAGCUGGACUUUUCUCUGAGCUAUAAGCAUAUCUAUUUAGUCUGCCUAAAAACAGAUUAUUACCUUUGCUGCAGCUAACAUAAAGGAGAUUAGUUCUUGUGCUGACUGAUGCAGGAUUCACAAAGACAGGCUUCGGCCGACUUUGUAAACUCGAUCUCAAAUCAAGUAAGACUACCCGCUGAACUUAAGCAUAUCAAUAAGCGGAGGA
rnacentral:misc_RNA from 1 species